ACUCCUACGGGAGGCAGCAGUGAGGAAUAUUGGUCAAUGGACGCAAGUCUGAACCAGCCAUGUCGCGUGCAGGAAGACUGCCCUAUGGGUUGUAAACUGCUUUUAUACGGGAAGAAUGUGACCCUCGUGAGGGUUUUUGCCGGUACCGUAUGAAUAAGCAUCGGCUAACUCCGUGCCAGCAGCCGCGGUAAUACGGAGGAUGCAAGCGUUAUCCGGAUUCAUUGGGUUUAAAGGGUGCGUAGGCGGAAUGGUAAGUCAGGGGUGAAAGUUUGCGGCUCAACCGUAAAAUUGCCUUUGAUACUGUCAUUCUUGAGUACAUUUGAGGUAGGCGGAAUGUGGCGUGUAGCGGUGAAAUGCUUAGAUAUGCCACAGAACACCGAUUGCGAAGGCAGCUUACUAAACUGUAACUGACGCUGAUGCACGAAAGCGUGGGGAUCGAACAGGAUUAGAUACCCU
rnacentral:rRNA from 1 species